AACGAACGCUGGCGGCAGGCCUAACACAUGCAAGUCGAACGCACCGCAAGGUGAGUGGCGCACGGGUGAGUAACACGUGGGAAUGUAUCCUUUGGUUCGGAAUAACGUCUGGAAACGGACGCUAAUACCGGAUGAGCCCUUAGGGGGAAAGAUUUAUCGCCGAAGGAGCAGCCCGCGUCUGAUUAGGUAGUUGGUGGGGUAAAGGCCUACCAAGCCGACGAUCAGUAGAUGGUCUGAGAGGAUGAUCAGCCACACUGGGACUGAGACACGGCCCAGACUCCUACGGGAGGCAGCGAUGGGUAAGAUUGGACAAUGGGCGCAAGCCUGAACCAGCCAUGCCGCGUGAGUGAUGAAGGCCUUCGGGUUGUAAAGCUCUUUCGCACACGACGAUGAUGACGGUAGUGUGAGAAGAAGCCCCGGCUAACUUCGUGCCAGCCGCCGCCGUAACAC
rnacentral:rRNA from 1 species